AUAAUGUCACUCUAAAGUAAAUACCGUAGUGUUUUUUAGCUAUAGAUAAAUACUGCCCGGAUGGAGACAAAUUAUGACUGGCGGGUGUUAAUUUUAUCACUACCACUAUAUGUGAGAAACAUCAUUACCGCGCGGUGAAGCUAAUGUUCGAUGACGAUUAACGUCAGGUUUUUAAGAGUGUGUACAUAUGUAUUGAUUAUCAGAAAGCUAAAUAUUUACGCAUUAUUUUCCUCGUCUCUGGUCUCGUCACGCACGAGUCGAGUGGCAAGUUCCAUUCUGCUUUCUAUUUGGUGACGAGAUCCAUUUGGUUUUAAACGUAUCCCAUUUUUUAAAAAACUAAGAUAAAAAAUUUUUCACAUUCACAAUGCUUAAAAUUAUUUCGUCAAUCUGCGUCAAAAUUAUCACAACAUUCAUGAAAGUUGUCAGUUUUCUAAUAUUUUUUGGAGUUGCUGUGGAAAUCGCGUAUAUAGAAAAGGACAGAUAUUGUGAGCGGUUACGAGGACCAUACCGACCCGAUCCUGUCGUCAACGGAUUUCUUUGUUCGACUGAAAUGGCAAUAUCAUAAGAGCUAAUGUUAUUUGUGUGCCAGAUUAAUAUCAAUUAUCAUUAAAUUCGCUGAAGAGUAA